rnacentral:lncRNA from 1 species
AAUGUGAUCUUUUUUUAUGUAUUUGGAGCACAGCUGCUUGCAAAACGUUACAAAGGAAAUAGAUUUUAGUCUGCAGGUGCAGAGAAACAAUAAAUCACACAUGACAACCAAGAAAUUGGAAUUUGAAUUUGCAGCAGACACUAAUCGCCAUCAUUAGGAAUCUCAAGUAAAUUCCAUUUGAAAAACCACCAGCCUGAGAGCUUUCAGUCAAUCUGUCACUCUGAAGCAACAAUAAGUCCAACCAUUAAUAUAUUCCAUCCCCGGAAUUUAUCAUGAACAAACAGAGCCCCAGCCGCAACCAAUUCUAUAGCACAAUAUCAACUAUUAACAUUCCGACAUCUCCAUCAAUAAAUACUACAAAUCGGAAUACCACAUAUUACAUUCUGCCAUCCACCAUAACAUGAAGCCCUUCAAAGAUGAAUUCACUGCCACAUCAACCCCACCGAAAAUCUCAAAUCCACACCAUAAGCUCCUGUAUUCUAUUCACCCCUUGUUUUGCAAGGGAAUCAGCCAUGAAGUUUGCUUCUCAAAGGAUAUGACAGAAAGAAAAAUUACUCUAAACAAAAGAAAAUCAAGAAGCUUUAAUGAAUAGAUCAUGGGAUUUCCAAGGUGUAGAAGAAGGUUUGUUCAUCCAAUUCACCACGGAAGCCGAGUCAGAUUCCAUUAAGAAUUUUUUCCCAAUAAAAUCAUCCAUCGAAGAAGACAAUUCAAUAGCUUUUACAACAACUAGCAGCUCAGCUUCAUUAGAGUUUCUACUUUUUAGUAUCCACUGACUUACCACUCCAUAAUGAUUUCUUAACACCCCUCCAAUACGUAUAGGUUCAAGUUUACCUUUAGAAGAGCCAUCACAUUCCAUUUUAAUACAUUACUAUUAAGAGGAUUCCAGUAUAAGAUCAAGAGCCUACUGCUCAAGACAUUCAUCUAACAAACCAAUCCCUCAACCAAGAUCAAUAAAUCUAUUGCAAGAUAAUAGAAAUCCAAAAAAAUAGCUUUUAACCAAAUACCCAAUCUUGUUAAGAUUAAUAAAAAAAAAAUAUCAUAAUUAGGUAUUCUAUUAUUGAACAUCUUUUCAUUUCGUAGAAGCCAUAAAAACCAUGAAAUACCAAAAAAUAUCAUAGUCCAUACCUUCUUUUGAAACUUUCCAUGAACCAAAUCCACCCAUUAAUUAAAGAGAUAAGACAUACAUGUUGGACACCAUCAAGACACCCAUACUAAUCUGCAAAUAUGGACCAGACCCUCCAAUAUUUAUAGCAGUGUAGAAGAACAUGAUCUAUUGUUUCCUCGCAAACCAAACAUAACGGACAAUUGGCCUUAUUAGCAUCAAGAAUGCCAAUUUUUACCAGAACUCCCCUUGUGUUGAUUUUGCCAAGAAUGACCAUCCAGCAAAAAAAAACUUCAACCUUAUAAGAACACUUUCGUGGACAUAUUGACAAUAAGACUCAUUCUUGUUAUGCUACAAAACUUCUUUGAAAUGCCUAAGAACUUAUAAAGAAAUAGUGCGUGUCUUGAGCUUUAUGAACCAAAAGUAAGAACGAAUCAG